rnacentral:rRNA from 1 species
GAUAUUGGUCAAUAGCCUAACGGCUGAACCAGCAACUGGAGGAAUGAAAAGCAAUAGCUGAUUGCAAAAUGUAGUUACUACUUGGUAGUUUAAAUUUCUAGGUAGAAUUAUGAUGAUGACAUUAUCUAUCUAUUAGUCUUGACCAAAUUACGUGCCAGCAGUCGCGGUAAUACGUAGAAGACAAGUGUUAUUCAUCUUUAUUAGGUUUAAAGAGUACCAAGACGGUUAUUAAAGCCCAAAAGAAAUGAAUACGGGGGACACAUUAACUAGAGUUAUAUGAAAGGAAGCUAUAAGGUACUGUUGAGUGUAGAGAUGAAAUUUAAUCAUACCAGAUGAUUGGCACAGAUUUAUGCGAAGGCAUCUUCUUAUGUAAUAACUGACGUUGUAGGACGAAGGCUUAGGAAGUGAACAGGAUUAGGUACCCCAGUAAUCUCGGCAGAAAAUGAUGAAUGUCAUAGGUAUUAUUGUGUCUAUAAAUGAAAGUGUAAGCAUUCCACCUCAAGAGUAAUUUGGCAACAUUGGAACUGAAAUCAUUAGACCGUUUCUGAAACCAGUAGUGAAGUAUGUUGUUUAAUUAGAUGAUACACAAAAACCUUACCACAAUUUGAAUAUAUAUAAAAUAUAUUUACAAGCGCUGCACGGCUGUCUACAGUUAAUGUCGUGAGACUUUGGUUAGCUCCAUUAAAUUGACGAAAACCCAAAUUUUAUUUAUAAAUAUAAUUAACAUUGCUAUAUUUGAUGUUUUAAGAGGGAACAUGACAAGUCAUCAUGG